UUAUGAGGAGAAGGAGGAGGAGCAGAAUUUUCUUGUCUGAAGCUCUCAGAGCUAGAGAAAUGGAUGGUGCUGGAUGGAACAUUUGGUUCCUCUGAGGCGCUGACAUUGCCUUGGUGGUGAUAUGAGGCAACAGGAAUGGAAAUGCACUUCUCCAGGAGAGGGAAAAGCUUAUUGUUUCAAGAAAUGCCCAGUUUUCAUGGGCCCGUCGUGGGGUGAUGGAUGGCUGGGGACGCCCAGCGAGGAUAUCUGUCUCCACCAAGGCUCUGGGUGCUCCCUGGCUGCCCUUUCCCAGCCACCAGCAGAGUUUCCAGCGUGGAGGGGGAUCUAUAAAACAUGACUUGUAAAGAGAAAGAGCUGGCAUUUGACUCCUGAAGGGAAAGAGAUGGUGGAGAGCUGCGAAGAAGAUGGAUGCCCCCCUCCCCGAAAUAUAAAGAAAUAUGUGCAGAAAAUGAAAGAGAUUUAAAGCAGCUAUCAAUCGGUCGCUGUUCCAGCUUUAAGAGCUGUUGAAACAACAUAAUAAAAGGCAAUAAACAAGAGAUUUAUGACCUACC
rnacentral:lncRNA from 1 species